CUUUUAACCAAUUUAUUUGUUGUCAUCUAUUCUGGGUGUGCCAAGGAAACCUAUGUGUCAGGGACUAACCCGGCCUAACUUGUGUGCUCUGAACUGACCUCUGAGUCCUGGGCUCUCCUGGGCUAACAGGUGUUCCAAACCAUCCCAAGUGUUCUAGGAUGUCAUGUGUCUCUGGAUUAAUGUGGGGGACUGGCUGACCUGCGAGCUAGUUCUAGGCUAGCCUGGGCUAACCUACAUGUUCAGAGAUAAGUUGUAGGCUCUGGGCUAUCCUUGGCACCUCUUCCAAGCUAAUCUGCAAGACCUUGGGGGCGGGGGGGGGGCUCCCUCUUCCUCUCCUAGAGAUAAGAACCAGGAACAGAACUCCAGUCCUAGUGUCCUCUUGGAUCUUCAAUGGCGGGAAAGCUGUCCUCAGUUUUCCUUCUGGUGAGCAUAACCAGGACCCAAGACUUCGGAGUUCCUUCAGGAACGGACACCUGGGACUGCCUCAGGAGUCCACAGCCAGCCUCCUCCUGAGCUUGUGGGGGCGGAGGAAGACACGACCCACUCUUGCCUGGCUCAGGCAGGACUGGGCUGGGCAGGCUCACCAGGAAGCCCCCUCAAGAAAGCCUGGCAUUUGUGCUCAGUGCUGCGUCUGCCAACGUCACCCCCACCCACGCACGGUUUUGACGGAAGGAGAAUCAUCUGUCCAGUUGGCAGUUCCUGAGCCCUUCCCAAGGAUGUGUGCCGCGCACGCCAGGGAGAUGAAGCCCUUCUCUGCAACUUACUACUCCUGAACCCAGCCCAGCUCUGCUCCUGCCACUCCCUCUAUGUGCAGGACUCUCUCCCGUCCCCUCCUCCAGGGACCCUUCCCUGACUCCCCACAUAGGACCUAUAGGUCAGCUGUGACCCUGGGGUACCCCCAGACCUCUUAUUCCCUGGGCAUUCUUGUGGCAACCCCAGAUCCCUCCUCUGGGUGGGUGGGCUUGGGAAUACCCGCAGCCAGCAGUUCAGCCCCUGCCUCUGGGAAGGCCAGCACAGCCAUCAAGGCCUCAGCAAGGGCCCUUGCCCUGGGUUGUCUGGGCUGGCUGGGGCUGGCACAAGGGUGUUCGCGCUCACCAAGUGUGUGGGACAGGGAGGUGCCCGGAGACUUUCGGAGGCAGGCUCGCUGAGCCUUGGGUUUACAGGUGGACUUCCAGACUUUUGUCACCAGCUGGACAUGGUGCUUCUGUUUCUGGUGUCUCACUAACCCCUCACUGUCCCUGUUUGGCCAGAAUCAGGGGUGGGUGGGCAACCAUGUAUGGAGGGGUCUGGAAACCCCUCACCCUGAGGGGGUGCUCCUGGUCGCCCUCAGAAUAAAGCGUGAGUGCCUCCAAGGCCCACAAGGCCAGCAGGGCCUAAUCCCUGCUGGGCCUACGGUCUCAGCACACACCACACGCCCCCACCUCUGGGCCUCCUUCCUCCCACCUCUGCCUCCCUCCCAAUGCAUCCCUCUCCCUGCAUUGUUUCUCUCCACCUCCCUACCCUCCCCUUCUCUUUGUCCACAUAACACAGACCCAUCCUCAGGGAAGCCUUUUCCAUGCCUCAGACCAUGUGGAUUCCACCUGCUCUUUGCCUUGUGACCCUGUCCACUUCUGCUUGGUAGCAGUGACCUUGACUGUGGAGAAGUAAUAGCUGAGUCUCACUGGCUGUUUACCAUAUGCCUUCUGCACCACCAUCCUCUCUCCUGCCCUCGCCUUAUGGAAGCUUCAGGACGGCGGGGCCCUUGCCCGUCCUUGAAUGAAUGAAUGAAUGAAUGGGAGCCGAGACUGCAGGGGACGAUGAGUGAGGAAGUGAGAAGGCCAGCCAGCGGGCCUGUGCAGUGGUCUAGGUGGGCACAGGAGGCUGCCCUUGGCCGCGUGCCCCUGCGUGGUGGGCGUGCGUGGCUGGCCUCCUUGGGUGGAGGGGGCGCAAAGCGGUCAGAUUUCAGGCUGAUAUUGGAAACAGAGCCAACAGGCUUUGUGGGCAGAGUGGAUGUGGGGUGUUUGCAAGAGACUUGGCCUAGCUAACCAGGGAGUCAGAGGUGCCCCUGGGACGGGAAAGGCUGAGGGUGAGCGGGUUUCGGAGGGAAGCCUGGGCUUCUGACCAUUUCAGUGUGAGGGGCCUGUUGGGCUCCCGGUGAGGGCUCCCGAGGAGGCAGACGGUGCGCCGUGUGAGUCCUGAGUUCAGGGGAGAGGCAUUUUGGAACGGUCGGAGGGUGGGACUUGAAGGUGUGGAUUAGAUGAGCGUAGUAAGGGCAUGAGGGGCCCAUCGGCUUUAGGAGGUCAGGGCCAUGUGGAGGCGGGGAACAGCCUCAGGGCAGAUGGGGUGGCACAGAAGCCUCAGAGAUGAGGGGCCCGGAGAGAAGGAGGGAGAGGAGGGCUGGGGAAGUUUCCAGGAGGUGGAACGCAGGAGGAUUAGAAGGCAGAGAGAGAGUCAGGGGGAAGGCUUGGGCUGGUUGAAGAGGCUCUGAACUCAGCGCAGAACGGCGUUGCUUUAAUGCAUCGCAGACAGGGAGCUGCUGGUGAAGGUUGGUGAGCGGGAGAUGCCUAUGACAGGGUGGGCUUUGGGGACCCACUUAGUGGCUGUGAACAGGAGAGCGGGUGCCUGGAUGUGGAGACCGGGCUGCAUCCAUGCUAGGGCCUGGAUAUGAGUUUAGGUGUCGGGUGACCUUCAGUUUCCUUUCCUGUCAAGUGGACGAUAGUCCUAAACUUGCUUAAGGAGGCGGCUUCCUGGGGGCAUUUACCUGCCCACCUUCCCUGGGGCUCCGCAGCCUGCCGUUCUGACACUGGCCACUAGGUGGCAGCCAGUCCCCAGCAGCCCCACCUGUAGCCUGGCCUGGGCCGGGAGGGCUUUCCUAGGGAUGGUACCAGGUUGGCACUGCCACCUCUCAGCCUGCAGUUUCUUGAUGGAAUCUUCUUUCCUUACCCACUCACCAGCCAGAGGCUUCCGGGGCCUCGGGGCCCAGGGGGAGGCCACAAAUGAGAAAUUCUCUGUGCACACCCCCUGCGCGGGGACCUCUCUCUGGAGCAGCUCUUUGCCAGGCAUGGGGCCCAGGGGACACUCUGUGUAGGGUUACCAAAUGGAGCAACUAAAUACAGUAUUUGAGACAAAAUUUUGCUGAAAAUUAUUCAUAAUUAAUCUAAAAUUCACAUUUAUCUGGCAGCCCUCACCCUGUGUCAAUGGCCCUCGUGGGUGACACGGCCCACAGUCACGGACACAUCUGCCCUGGGCACAGGCUGCCAGGGCUGAGAGCUUCAGAGAGGGAGCUGGCACCAGGGUACCAAACCCAGCUGUAGCUCACAGUCCCCUCCCCUGCAUGCUGUUCAUCGGUAUAUCCAUCUGUCCAUCUAGCCAUUCGCUCAUCCGUGCCCCUACCUGUCUAUCCGCCCACCCAUCCAUCCAUGCAGCACCCAGCCUGCUGCCUUUUUUACUCCCUGCGGACCGGCUAGUCUCAGAGACUGUACAGACCUCUGGUCACUGUCGUCACGUUCUCCUGGGCUCUAUUUUUGUCCUUCCAGGUCCAGCCCACUUGGCUUCUCUCUGGAGACUUGGUAGAGCCUGGUGGCCGAGCAGGAAAGAGCCCACGGCUCCUGCCUGCUUUGAGGGCCCUGUGCUCCAUGAUGCGUUCAAGCUGGACACGUAUACCCCACUUGCCCCCUCCCUGGACCAGGAGUGUGUCCCCAAGAGUGUUGGCAAUUGCACUUUUAACAGGCAGUGGUGUA